AGUAAAAGAAUGAAGAGAUGGAAAGACAGAAGAUAAAAGAAGCAUAAAAGUUCAUAUUUCAAGUUUCCGAAAUUAUAGAAACCAGAGCAUGAGUCCUUAGGUGCAAUCCUGCGUAUAGCCAUGUGGGUUAAAGUCCUGAUAUAGUAGACAACCCAAGAAAAAGACGCAAACAUAUCAACUCUUUGUCCUUCUUUUUUCUUCUUUCUCUCC